rnacentral:sRNA from 1 species
GCAUAUCAUUAAGCGGAGGAAAAGAAACCAACAGGGAUUGCCUCAGUAACGGCGAGUGAAGCGGCAACAGCUUCAAAUUNUGAAAUCUGGCCCCAGGCCCGAGUUGUAAUUUGCAGAGGAUGCUUUUGGCGCGGUGCCUUCCGAGUUCCCUGGAACGGGACGCCAUAGAGGGUGAGAGCCCCGUACGGUUGGACACCAAGCCUUUGUAAAGCUCCUUCGACGAGUCGAGUAGUUUGGGAAUGCUGCUCAAAAUGGGAGGUAUAUUUCUUCUAAAGCUAAAUAUUGGCCAGAGACCGAUAGCGCACAAGUAGAGUGAUCGAAAGAUGAAAAGCACUUUGAAAAGAGGGUUAAACAGCACGUGAAAUUGUUAAAAGGGAAGCGCUUAUGACCAGACUUGCGCCCGGUGAAUCACCCAGCUCUCGCGGCUGGGGCACUUUGCCGGCUCAGGCCAGCAUCAGCUCGCUGUCGGGGACAAAAGCUUCGGGAACGUAGCUCUCUUCGGGGAGUGUUAUAGCCCGUUGCACAAUACCCUUCGGCGGGCUGAGGUACGCGCUCCGCAAGGAUGCUGGCGUAAUGGUCAUCAGCGACCCGUCUUGAAACACGGACCAAGGAGUCAACCUUAUGUGCGAGUGUUUGGGUGUUAAACCCCUACGCGUAAUGAAAGUGAACGCAGGUGAGAGCUUCGGCGCAUCAUCGACCGAUCCUGAUGUUCUCGGAUGGAUUUGAGUAAGAGCAUAUAGGGUUGGACCCGAAAGAAGGUGAACUAUGCGUGUAUAGGGUGAAGCCAGAGGAAACUCUGGUGGAGGCUCGCAGCGGUUCUGACGUGCAAAUCGAUCGUCAAAUAUGCGCAUGGGGGCGAAAGACUAAUCGAACCUUCUAGUAGCUGGGUUC